rnacentral:sRNA from 1 species
UCUGGGCGUGGUGGUGUACGCCUGUUAUCCCAGCAACUCAGGAGGCUGAGGCAGGAGGAUGGCAAGUUCAAAGCUAGCCUCAGGAAUUUAGUGAGGCCCUAAGCAACUCAUUGAGACCCUGUCUCUA